rnacentral:rRNA from 1 species
UACGGGGGGGGCAAGCGUUGUUCGGAAUUACUGGGCGUAAAGGGCUCGUAGGUGGCCAACUCAGUCAGACGUGAAAUCCCUCAGCUUAACUGGGGAACUGCGUCUGAUACUGGAUGGCUUGAGUUUGGGAGAGGGAUGCGGAAUUCCAGGUGUAGCGGUGAAAUGCGUAGAUAUCUGGAGGAACACCGGUGGCGAAGGCGGCAGCCUGGACCAACACCGACACUGAUGAGCGAAAGCCAGGGGAGCAAACGGG